rnacentral:misc_RNA from 1 species
GGAAAAAUAGGUGUGUGCACAGGCUCUUUUAGUUUCUACUUGUUUUAAGUGGAUUUUGGCAGUAGAAAUAAUGCUGAAGUUCCUUGGAAUUGUGCAAAUUAUAAGGCAUUAUGGAGCAUUAAGAAUUUGGAUAGACAGGAUGCUCAUAUUUUCAAAUAUCAGAUGUUGUCUUUAAUUUGGAUAUGGGACAAAGCGGUUAUU